CAGUAUCGGUAGAGCAGUAUCAGUAGAUAAGUAUCAGUAGAGCAGUAUCAGUAUAUCAGUAUCAGUAGAGCAGCAUCACGGUAUCAGUAGAGCAGUAUCAGUAGAGAAGUAGACCAGUAUCAGUAAAGCAGUAUCAGUAGAGCAGUAGAGCAGUAUCAGUAGAGCAGUAUCAGUAGAUCAGUAUCAGUAGAGCAGCAUCAGUAGAGCAGUAUCAGUAGAGCAGUAUCAGUAGAUCAGUAUCAGUAGAGCAGUAGAGCAGUAUCAGUAGAGCAGUAUCAGUAGAGCAGUAUCAGUAGAGCAGUAUCAGUAGAGCAGUAGAGCAGUAUCAGUAGAGCAGUAGAGCAGUAUCAGUAGAGCAGUAGAGCAGUAUCAGUAGAGCAGUAUCAGUAGAGCAGUAUCACAGUAUCAGUAGAGCAGUAUCAGUAGCGCCGUA
ensembl:lncRNA